AUGGUGGUAACAAAUUGCUAUACUAGUUCCAGCAAAAAAAACAAACAUAGUUGCAAAAUCUGGGUUGAUUCCAACAAAAAAAAAUCAAAUACAAUGGUAGCAAAAAUUAGAGCUGGUUCCAGCAAAAAGCCUUCGUGGUUCCAGCAAAAAAACUCGCCGGAUCUCCAGCACUUGUCGCCGCCUCCACCUCCGGCAGCUGCUGGUUGUAGCAACCAUGGCUGCUGGUUCCAGCAUCGUCGGACUCUGCUCCAGCACCACGGCCUGCCCCCUGAUGCGGCAGCCGCCGUCUUGAGCAGUUGCGGAUGCAGCUGA
rnacentral:rRNA from 1 species